rnacentral:rRNA from 1 species
GUUCCUAUUGAGCAGAGUACUACUCCAACCCAUGUGACAUACCUAUUGUUGCCUCGGCAGGUCGUAGACUGCUGGGAAAGGGCCUUCCCCUAGCUUGGGAGGCCCUACCCGGGAGCCGCGGGUAAGCCUGCCGAUGGCCCGCAAAAACUCUGUUUAGCACUGAAAUUCUGAAUCAUAACUAAAUAAGUUAAAACUUUCAACAACGGAUCUCUUGGUUCUGGCAUCGAUGAAGAACGCAGCGAAAUGCGAUAAGUAAUGUGAAUUGCAGAAUUCAGUGAAUCAUCGAAUCUUUGAACGCACAUUGCGCCCAUUAGUAUUCUAGUGGGCAUGCCUGUUCGAGCGUCAUUUCAACCCUUAAGCCCUUGUUGCUUAGUGUUGGGAGACUACGUUCCUUAGCGUAGCUCCUCAAAGUUAGUGGCAGAGUCAGUUCAAACUCUAGGUGUAGUAAAUUUCUUCUCGCCUCUGUGGUUGGGCUGCCCCUCGCCGUAAAACACCCCUAAUUUUUAAAGGUUGACCUCGGAUCAGGUAGGAAUACCCGCUGAACUUAAGCAUAUCAAUAAGGCGGAGGAAAAGAACCCUCUGGGUUUGCUCUACUCAAGACGGGUGAAUUGGGUAUAGCUUUAUGCGGGGAAUAAUGGCAGGA